rnacentral:rRNA from 1 species
CGAGCGGACAGAUGGGAGCUUGCUCCCUGAUGUUAGCGGCGGACGGGUGAGUAACACGUGGGUAACCUGCCUGUAAGACUGGGAUAACUCCGGGAAACCGGGGCUAAUACCGGAUGGUUGUUUGAACCGCAUGGUUCAAACAUAAAAGGUGGCUUCGGCUACCACUUACAGAUGGACCCGCGGCGCAUUAGCUAGUUGGUGAGGUAACGGCUCACCAAGGCGACGAUGCGUAGCCGACCUGAGAGGGUGAUCGGCCACACUGGGACUGAGACACGGCCCAGACUCCUACGGGAGGCAGCAGUAGGGAAUCUUCCGCAAUGGACGAAAGUCUGACGGAGCAACGCCGCGUGAGUGAUGAAGGUUUUCGGAUCGUAAAGCUCUGUUGUUAGGGAAGAACAAGUGCCGUUCGAAUAGGGCGGUACCUUGACGGUACCUAACCAGAAAGCCACGGCUAACUACGUGCCAGCAGCCGCGGUAAUACGUAGGUGGCAAGCGUUGUCCGGAAUUAUUGGGCGUAAAGGGCUCGCAGGCGGUUUCUUAAGUCUGAUGUGAAAGCCCCCGGCUCAACCGGGGAGGGUCAUUGGAAACUGGGGAACUUGAGUGCAGAAGAGGAGAGUGGAAUUCCACGUGUAGCGGUGAAAUGCGUAGAGAUGUGGAGGAACACCAGUGGCGAAGGCGACUCUCUGGUCUGUAACUGACGCUGAGGAGCGAAAGCGUGGGGAGCGAACAGGAUUAGAUACCCUGGUAGUCCACGCCGUAAACGAUGAGUGCUAAGUGUUAGGGGGUUUCCGCCCCUUAGUGCUGCAGCUAACGCAUUAAGCACUCCGCCUGGGGAGUACGGUCGCAAGACUGAAACUCAAAGGAAUUGACGGGGGCCCGCACAAGCGGUGGAGCAUGUGGUUUAAUUCGAAGCAACGCGAAGAACCUUACCAGGUCUUGACAUCCUCUGACAAUCCUAGAGAUAGGACGUCCCCUUCGGGGGCAGAGUGACAGGUGGUGCAUGGUUGCCGUCAGCUCGUGUCGUGAGAUGUUGGGUUAAGUCCCGCAACGAGCGCAACCCUUGAUCUUAGUUGCCAGCAUUCAGUUGGGCACUCUAAGGUGACUGCCGGUGACAAACCGGAGGAAGGUGGGGAUGACGUCAAAUCAUCAUGCCCCUUAUGACCUGGGCUACACACGUGCUACAAUGGACAGAACAAAGGGCAGCGAAACCGCGAGGUUAAGCCAAUCCCACAAAUCUGUUCUCAGUUCGGAUCGCAGUCUGCAACUCGACUGCGUGAAGCUGGAAUCGCUAGUAAUCGCGGAACAGCAUGCCGCGGUGAAUACGUUCCCGGGCCUUGUACACACCGCCCGUCACACCACGAGAGUUUGUAACACCCGAAGUCGGUGAGGUAACCUUUUAGGAGCCAGCCGCCGAAGGUGGGACAGAUGAUUGGGGUGAAGUCGAAACAAGGUAGCCGUAUCGGAAGGUGCGGCUG